rnacentral:rRNA from 1 species
GUAGGUGGCAAGCGUUGCCCGGAAUUAUUGGGCGUAAAGCGCGCGCAGGCGGUCCUUUAAGUCUGAUGUGAAAGCCCACGGCUCAACCGUGGAGGGUCAUUGGAAACUGGGGGACUUGAGUACAGAAGAGGAAAGUGGAAUUCCACGUGUAGCGGUGAAAUGCGUAGAGAUGUGGAGGAACACCAGUGGCGAAGGCGACUUUCUGGUCUGUAACUGACGCUGAGGCGCGAAAGCGUGGGGAGCAAACAGGGAUUAGAUACCCUGGUAGUCCACGCCGUAGACGAUGAGUGCUAAGUGUUAGAGGGUUUCCGCCCUUUAGUGCUGCAGCUAACGCAUUAAGCACUCCGCCUGGGAGUACGGCCGCAAGGCUG